rnacentral:misc_RNA from 1 species
UCCCCUCCUUUCUAAGGAUGGUUCUUCAGAGAGCUCACGCUCACUAUCGAACCGUUUUAGAAACAUUCAGGGGCCAAUCGAUCGCAUGAUCAUUGAGCUCCAUUGGCGGGAUUUCGCCGUCUUCGUUUCUCUUUCUUCGCGGACGAACACGCGCCAGGGGCUGAGCGCUUGAGCGAUGCAUUGGCGCGAGCCGAUUGCGCGCCAGCCGGCUCCGGCAUCUCGCAAGAGAUGAGCGUUAGGGGCUUGUAGCUCAGUUGGUUAGAGCGCGCGCUUGAUAAGCGUGAGGUCGGAAGUUCAAGUCUUCCCAGGCCCACCACUUUGAUCGAGUGCGGAGCAUUCGUCUUCUGGUUACGGGGCCAUAGCUCAGCUGGGAGAGCGCGUGCUUUGCAAGCAUGAGGUCGUCGGUUCGAUCCCGUCUGGCUCCACCAGCCUUCGCUGGCUGAAGCCAGCUACGGCUAGGCGAGCCCGACUCAAGCGAAGGCUGCCACGGCGAAGCUCGAAGAGCGAAGCCGGGCUGGCGCCGAUCGACCAAAUCGUCCGCGAAACAUCACUUCGCACUCACGAGUCCGGAUGGACAGUGACGUGCGUGUUUUCUGACAUCGUAAAGAGGAGAUCGAUCCGAGCUUGGAUCAAGCGAAGCAAUUCGCCUGACCAUUCACUAUCUCCGGGAUCAUUUCGGCGCUCGCUUCAGUCGUGAGAUUGAACGCGGGUUGUAAAUGAUCCUUUGUUAGCGAAGCUUGACCGCCUCGCUAUCGGGCCGAUCUUACGAAGCAAGCUGGUCUUUCUAAUCAAUGUCCGGCCGUGACAAUCGCAUUCAUCGAGGAUGCUCGCCUUCAGUGGCAGUUGCGCGGACAACAUUCUGCCGAGUGUGUGGACAUUGAUAAUGAGAGCAAUCAAGUGCCUUAAGGGUGUUCGGUGGAUGCCUUGGCGCUGAGAGGCGAUGAAGGACGUGCUACGCUGCGAUAAGCCGUGGGGAGCUGCGAAGAAGCUUUGAUCCGCGGAUUU